rnacentral:rRNA from 1 species
UACGUAGGGUGCAAGCGUUGUCCGGAAUUAUUGGGCGUAAAGAGCUCGUAGGCGGUCUGUCGCGUCGGCUGUGAAAACCCGGGGCUCAACUCCGGGCCUGCAGUCGAUACGGGCAGACUAGAGUUCGGUAGGGGAGACUGGAAUUCCUGGUGUAGCGGUGAAAUGCGCAGAUAUCAGGAGGAACACCUGUGGUGUAGACGGCUUUCUGGACCGUAGCUGACGCUGAGACACGAAAGCGUGGGUAGCAAACAGG